UUGACCUCGGAUCAGGUAGGAUUCCGCUGAACUUAGGCAU
rnacentral:rRNA from 1 species